UACUGGCUAUGGUACUCAUCACUUGGCAGU
rnacentral:piRNA from 1 species